UUGAAAGCUUGCUUUUAAUUCCUAGUGGCGAACGGGUGAGUAUCACGUGAGUAACCUGCCCUAAAGCGGGGGAUAGCCCGGGGAAACUCGGAUUAAUACCCCAUGUGAUCGCAAGAUUAAAGGCGCUUCGGUGUCGCUUUAGGAUGGGCUCGCGGCCUAUCAGCUAGAUGGUGAGGUAAAAGCUCACCAUGGCAACGACGGGUAGCUGGUCUAAGAGGACGAUCAGCCACACUGGAACUGAGACACGGUCCAGACACCUACGGGUGGCAGCAGUCGAGAAUCAUUCGCAAUGGGGGAAACCCUGACGGUGCGACGCCGCGUGGAGGAUGACGGCCCUCGGGUUGUAAACUCCUGUCAUGAGGGAGUAAGGCAUUCGGUAGUAACUGACUGAAUGUUUGAUAGUACCUCAAGAGGAAGGGACGGCUAACUUCGUGCCAGCAGCCGCGGUAAUACGAAGGUCCCAAGCGUUGUUCGGAAUCACUGGGCGUAAAGCGCGUGUAGGCUGCGCAGUAAGUCAGAUGUGAAAUCUCCGGGCUCAACCCGGAAACUGCAUCCGAUACUGCUGCGCUAGAGGACUGGAGAGGGAUGUGGAAUUCUUGGUGGAGCAGUGAAAUGCGUAGAUAUCAAGAGGAACACCAACGGCGAAGGCAGCAUCCUGGACAGAUCCUGACGCUCAGACGCGAAGGCUAGGGUAGCGAACGGGAUUAGAUACCCCGGUAGUCCUAGCAGUAAACGGUGCACGCUUGGGGGUUGGGGGGGGACUCGACCCCCCUCCGUGCCGGAGCUAACGUGUUAAGCGUGCCGCCUGGGGAGUACGGUCGCAAGAUUAAAA
rnacentral:rRNA from 1 species